rnacentral:rRNA from 1 species
CCUACGGGUGGCAGCAGUGAGGAAUAUUGGUCAAUGGGCGCGAGCCUGAACCAGCCAAGUCGCGUGAGGGAGGACGGCCCUACGGGUUGUAAACCUCUUUUGCCGGGGAGCAACGAGCGUCACGUGUGGCGCCACUGAGAGUACCCGGAGAAAAAGCAUCGGCUAACUCCGUGCCAGCAGCCGCGGUAAUACGGAGGAUACGGGCGUUAUCCGGAUUGAUGGGGGUUAAAGGAUGCGUAUGCGGAUCGUUAAGUCAGUGGGAAAAUUGAGGGCCUAAACCCCUUCCCGCCAUUGAAACUGGCGCUCUUGAGUGGAAGAGAAGUAUGCGGAAUGCGUGGUGUAGCGGUGAAAUGCAUAGAUAUCACGCAGAACCCCGAUUGCGAAGGCAGCAUGCCGGCCUCCGACUGACGCUGAAGCACGAAAGCGUGGGGAUCGAACAGGAUUAGAUACCCUUGUAGUC